rnacentral:tRNA from 1 species
UCCCUGGUGGCUCAGACGGUAAAGAAUCUGCCUGCAAUGCAGAAGACCCAGGUUCGAUCCCUGGGUUGGGAG